rnacentral:rRNA from 1 species
CCCUUAGAUGUCCUGGGCCGCACGCGCGUUACACUGAUGCAUUCAACGAGCUUAUAACAUUGGCCGAGAGGCCUGGGCAAUCUUGUUAACGUGCAUCGUGAUAGGGAUAGAUUAUUGAAAUUAUUAAUCUUGAACGAGGAAUUCCUAGUAAACGCAGAUCAUCAAUCUGCAUUGAUUACGUCCCUGCCCUUUGUACACACCGCCCGUCGCACCUACCGAUUGGAUGGUCCGGUGAAGCCUCGGGAUUGUGGUUCUUGCCGCUUUAUUGUGGCGUGACCGCGAGAACUUGUCUAAACCUUAUCAUCUAGAGGAAGGUGAAGUCGUAACA